rnacentral:tRNA from 1 species
GUAUAUAUAGCUCAAGUGGUAGAGGAUGCGCUUAGUAUGCACCAGGUCCUGGGUUCAAUCCCCAGUAUCUCCA